rnacentral:rRNA from 1 species
GACGAACGCUGGCGGCGUGCUUAACACAUGCAAGUCGAACGGUGAAGCUCCAGCUUGCUGGAGUGGAUCAGUGGCGAACGGGUGAGUAACACGUGAGCAACCUGCCCCUGACUCUGGAAUAAGCGCUGGAAACGGCGUCUAAUACUGGAUACGAGAAGGGUCCGCAUGGGCACUUUCUGGAAAGUUUUUCGGUUGGGGAUGGGCUCGCGGCCUAUCAGCUUGUUGGUGAGGUAAUGGCUCACCAAGGCGACGACGGGUAGCCGGCCUGAGAGGGCGACCGGCCACACUGGGACUGAGACACGGCCCAGACUCCUACGGUAGGCAGCAGUGGGGAAUAUUGCACAAUGGGCGAAAGCCUGAUGCAGCGACGCCGCGUGAGGGAUGACGGCCUUCGGGUUGUAAACCUCUUUCAGCAGGGAAGAAGCGAAAGUGACGGUACCUGCAGAAGAAGCACCGGCUAACUACGUG